rnacentral:rRNA from 1 species
UGGGGAAUCUUCCGCAAUGGACGAAAGUCUGACGGAGCAACGCCGCGUGUAUGAUGAAGGUCUUCGGAUUGUAAAGUACUGUCAUUGGGGAAGAACGGUUUUCUUGAAAAGAUUGAGAAGACAUGACGGUACCCAAGGAGGAAGCCCCGGCUAACUACGUGCCAGCAGCCGCGGUAAUACGUAGGGGGCAAGCGUUGUCCGGAGUUAUUGGGCGUAAAGGGCGCGUAGGCGGGCCUUUAAGUCCGGUGUGAAAGAUCAGGGCUCAACCCUGAGAGUGCAUCGGAAACUGGAGGCCUUGAGGACAGGAGAGGAAAGUGGAAUUCCACGUGUAGCGGUGAAAUGCGUAGAUAUGUGGAGGAACACCAGUGGCGAAGGCGACUUUCUGGACUGUAACUGACGCUGAGGCGCGAAAGCGUGGGGAGCAAACAGGAUUAGAUACCCUGGUAGUCCACGCCGUAAACGAUGAGUGCUAGGUGUAGAGGGUAUCGACCCCUUCUGUGCCGCAGUUAACACAAUAAGCACUCCGCCUGGGGAGUACGGCCGC